UACGAAGGGGGCUAGCGUUGUUCGGAAUCACUGGGCGUAAAGCGCACGUAGGCGGACUCUUAAGUCAGGGGUGAAAUCCUGGAGCUCAACUCCAGAACUGCCUUUGAUACUGGGAGUCUUGAGUUCGGGAGAGGUGAGUGGAACUGCGAGUGUAGAGGUGAAAUUCGUAGAUAUUCGCAAGAACACCAGUGGCGAAGGCGGCUCACUGGCCCGAUACUGACGCUGAGGUGCGAAAGCGUGGGGAGCAAACAGG
rnacentral:rRNA from 1 species